rfam:Triticum aestivum genome assembly, contig: Triticum_aestivum_CS42_TGACv1_scaffold_149353_2BS
UAAAUACUCCCUCCGUCUUAAAAUUAUUGUCUUAGAUUUAUCUAAAUACGGAUGUAUCAAGUCACGUUUUAGUAUUAGAUACAUCUGUAUCUAGACAAAUCUAAGACAAAAUGUUUGGGACGGAGGGAUAUUAG